UGAACGCUAGCUACAGGCUAACACAUGCAAGCGAGGGGUAGCAGGGUAGCAAUACCGCUGACGACCGGCGCACGGUGAGUAACACGUAUCCAACCUUCCCAUAACUCAGGGAUAGCCUUUCGAAAGAAAGAUUAAUACCUGAUAGUACUUUUUCAAGGCAUCUUGAGAAAGUUAAAGAUUUAUUGGUUAUGGAUGGGGAUGCGUUCCAUUAGAUAGUUGGUGAGGUAACGGCUCACCAAGUCUUCGAUGGAUAGGGGUUCUGAGAGGAAGGUCCCCCACAUUGGUACUGAGACACGGACCAAACUCCUACGGGAGGCAGCAGUGAGGAAUAUUGGUCAAUGGGCGAGAGCCUGAACCAGCCAAGUAGCGUGAAGGAAUGAAGGUCCUAUGGAUUGUAAACUUCUUUUAUAGUAGAAUAAAGUGAUCCACGUGUGGAUUUUUGUAUGUAUACUAUGAAUAAGGAUCGGCUAACUCCGUGCCAGCCGCCGC
rnacentral:rRNA from 1 species